UGCUUGCUAGCUCAGUUGUUAGAGCACGAGACACUCGAUCUCAGGGUAGUUGGUUGGAGCCCCACAUUGGGCAA